rnacentral:rRNA from 1 species
GGUUGUAAAGCUCUUUUAUCCGGGACGAUAAUGACGGUACCGGAGGAAUAAGCCCCGGCUAACUUCGUGCCAGCAGCCGCGGUAAUACGAAGGGGGCUAGCGUUGCUCGGAAUCACUGGGCGUAAAGGGCGCGUAGGCGGCGUUUUAAGUCGGGGGUGAAAGCCUGUGGCUCAACCACAGAAUGGCCUUCGAUACUGGGACGCUUGAGUAUGGUAGAGGUUGGUGGAACUGCGAGUGUAGAGGUGAAAUUCGUAGAUAUUCGCAAGAACACCGGUGGCGAAGGCGGCCAACUGGACCAUUACUGACGCUGAGGCGCGAAAGCGUGGGGAGCAAACAGGAUUAGAUACCCUGGUAGUCC